GUAAGUAAGUAAGUAUGUAUAUGGAACAAGAGGGAUACAGCGCAUGUUAAAAAUGAGCAAAAGAAGUAAAACCUUAUCCAAGAAUAAACUAAUUGCAACGUGUUGUGUUUGCUAAAAUGCAUUUAAUUUUCAUGUCUAAAGAAGGAGCAACUUUAACUGUUGGAAACCUUGAAAUGCUCUUCUAGUAACUACGGGUACUGCAGUUUGCUAGUGAGUGGGUUAUGCAACCCAUAAUCAUACACAUCUCCAUGUUAUUGUCUGGAAUGAAAAGCGCGGUUCUUUUGCAGGUUUUUAUUUGCAGCAGUGGAUAGUAGACGGAUUAAAUAGAAUGAACAACAACAAUGCUGGGAAUAUAUACACGAAACGAACAUACAACUUCUCACUAAAAAACCAAAUGGCAGCAAUAUAGAAAAAAAUACCCGUAUUAAAGAAAGUGUGGAAAGAAUAAAAAAAUAAAAAGUGUACAAGAAAAAUUUAAUACCAACAUAAGACUUCCGGCAUUGCAACAAUUGUCUUUCAACAAAAUGCAUUUUAGCUUAUGCCAUCCAACCAACCAGGCAGCCAGGCACGACUGAGCAAACAAACAUUAUGAUUUUAGGACAUUGGAUAAAAUAUUGGUCGAAAACGAACUUAAAUGUGCUCUGUAUACUAAAUUUCUUUAAAUUUAUAUUUAUGUUCACAAAAUUUUGUUAUGUCAAUAAAAUCAAUUUUUAAAUUUAA